rnacentral:rRNA from 1 species
UGGCGGCAGGCUUAACACAUGCAAGUCGAGCGGAGAUGAGGUGCUUGCACCUUAUCUUAGCGGCGGACGGGUGAGUAAUGCUUAGGAAUCUGCCUAUUAGUGGGGGACAACAUUUCGAAAGGAAUGCUAAUACCGCAUACGCCCUACGGGGGAAAGCAGGGGAUCUUCGGACCUUGCGCUAAUAGAUGAGCCUAAGUCGGAUUAGCUAGUUGGUGGGGUAAAGGCCUACCAAGGCGACGAUCUGUAGCGGGUCUGAGAGGAUGAUCCGCCACACUGGGACUGAGACACGGCCCAGACUCCUACGGGAGGCAGCAGUGGGGAAUAUUGGACAAUGGGGGGAACCCUGAUCCAGCCAUGCCGCGUGUGUGAAGAAGGCCUUUUGGUUGUAAAGCACUUUAAGCGAGGAGGAGGAGCUCUAGACUAAUACUCUAGAUGCUUGGACGUUACUCGCAGAAUAAGCACCGGCUAACUCUGUGCCAGCAGCCGCGGUAAUACAGAGGGUGCAAGCGUUAAUCGGAUUUACUGGGCGUAAAGCGUGCGUAGGUGGUCUUUUAAGUCGGAUGUGAAAUCCCUGAGCUUAACUUAGGAAUUGCAUUCGAUACUGGGAGACUAGAGUAUGGGAGAGGAUGGUAGAAUUCCAGGUGUAGCGGUGAAAUGCGUAGAGAUCUGGAGGAAUACCGAUGGCGAAGGCAGCCAUCUGGCCUAAUACUGACACUGAGGUACGAAAGCAUGGGGAGCAAACAGGAUUAGAUACCCUGGUAGUCCAUGCCGUAAACGAUGUCUACUAGCCGUUGGGGUCUUUGAGACUUUAGUGGCGCAGCUAACGCGAUAAGUAGACCGCCUGGGGAGUACGGUCGCAAGACUAAAACUCAAAUGAAUUGACGGGGGCCCGCACAAGCGG